UGGCGGACGGGUGAGUAACGCGUGGGUAACCUGCCUUACACAGGGGGAUAACACUUAGAAAUAGGUGCUAAAACCGCAUAAGCGCACAGCUUCGCAUGAAGCGGUGUGAAAAACUCCGGUGGUAUGAGAUGGACCCGCGUCUGAUUAGCUAGUUGGUGGGGUAAAGGCCUACCAAGGCGACGAUCAGUAGCCGACCUGAGAGGGUGAUCGGCCACAUUGGGACUGAGACACGGCCCAAACUCCUACGGGAGGCAGCAG
rnacentral:rRNA from 1 species